UCGAAGCAAGUUAUAGCAAAGCAUUUAUUCUAUUCUAUAUAAACAGAACCAGUUAUAAUAUAUAGAAAAGAUCUACACAAUUCCAAGUAUCUAAAAGUAAACGCUCUGCUACAGCCGUCCAAAGCAUCGGAAUUCGAUCGCGUAGCUUUUGGCCUAACUAUUAAUCCUUCAGGCGACCUGAAAAACUGGAGAUUGGCGGAAGAUAAGGCGUUGAGUGCUCUUAAAUACGACUCCUUAGUGAAUAGAACAGCGGCUGCAAUCGAACUAUUGGACGCUAUAACAGUUCAGGGAUGUGAUUCAGAAAGGUUUUUCUUCUUGUUUAAAACUCUAUCCUUUUAAUAGUUAAUUAUGACAGCAAUGUUGAUUAUUACUAAUAUGUAUUUCUUUAUAUCAAAGCAAUCUUUGUUUUUUUUUUCAAUUCUUCGUUCUCCCCUCCUUUCCUAUCCUUUCCUCUUCCUUUCAGUGAAAUGUUCAAUAGGAAUUGUAAAAAUAAGGAAUGAUUGUAAAUUUUAUAAAUAUCGUUAUUGUUUAUUAGAAAUUACAACUAAAUAUAAUAUCUUCUUUCUGCGUAUGGGAAGAAAAAUUAAUUGGCUUCCUGAAUCACAUCCUAGGAGAACGAAAAACGUAGACAAAUAAUUGAUAACCUCCAAAGAAAGUUGACAAUUGUUGCUAGAAGUCGACGAAUCAAGCAUAUGAAAAAUAGGACUACAGGGUAUACGAAUAAUUCAAAAUUUAAUUCAGUAAUGGCAACCCUUUGGGCUAAAAGACGAGAGCGAAAUAUAGAAAAUAUUCUACUAAAUACUCCUACUGUACCUAAUUAUGCUAAUAAUUUAGAAAUAUUCAGAUCUUCUAUCGACUAUGGUAGACCUAAAUCAGCGAAUUUCCUUCUUACAAAAAAGCAGCAAUAUAAAAAAUAUUCUAGACCUAAUAGUGGCUUUUGUUCAACUAAAAAUAAGUACACGUCAAUCAGCGAAACUAGGAGUAAACCAAAGGAAAAGCCAACUAAUAUAACGAAUAAUAAGAGUAGCGAAAUGAGAAUUAUAAAUAACAAACUUUCUAUAGACUUCAAUGACAAACGAACAGCUAUAAAGGAUACAAUAUCUAUUUGUUCAUUUUCAAUUAUCUCUCCCAAAUCGAGUGUCAAUGCAGAGCAAAUAUUAAAUAGUAAAUCAUUGAAAUUGAAUAAAUCUUCAAAUUCUUUGAAUCAAUCAACUACAUCGACGAAACAUAAUGGAAAGCACUUUAAAAAUACUAUAUUAAAUCUGGAUAAUUCUAAGACGACUAUUAAGAAGAAAAAGUCAUUAACAAAAACCAAGAAAAAUACAGUUUCACCUGAUCAUAUAGAACCAAUUGAAAAAAAGAUUGUAGACCAUUCAAAUUUCACUCAAACUUAUAAAGAUAAACUUGUUAACAACGAUAUUGAUGAUGAUAAUGAUAAUGGCCAUGAUAAUGUUGAAAAUAACUCUAAAUUAUUGUUUAAUGAUAAACAGUUUAUCUAUGACAAUUUAAAAGUAAAAGGUGACACAGCUGUUGAAUUUUUCGAGUUGAAAGAAGACAACAAGGAUAUUGCCAAAAAUUAUUUACUGAGCAAAAUUCCCAAUCAAAAGGAGUGUGAUGAAAAGGAAUAUGAGAAAGAAGGGGAAAACAAAGAAGAAUAUGAAGAGGAAUUUACUCAAUCUACAAAUGAUCCAUGGGUUUAUCGGAUUGAGGAAUCGGAUGAAACCUGCAGUUCAGAUCUAUCUGACCUAAAUUCUGUCCAAGUUAAUAGGGAUAUUGAUAAUUUGCAGAGUUUUUUAAAAGAUGAAGGAGAAAUGGUUAGAACUUCGAGUGAAAAUAUUCACGAAAGUUUAACUGAUAGAAAAGAAUUGCUUAAAAGAGAAAAAGUAAUUACUGAUGAGAAAUCAGUUGGCUUUAAUUUACAAACUGGAAUAACUCAAUAUACAAAAGAAUCGAGCGAAAUAUUGAAUAAUCUAGAGGCAAACGAUAACAUAAGCGAAUUUUCAAGGAAAUCGUCUAGAAAUCGUUCUAGCCGAGCUUCAUUUCCGAAAAGGAAAAGCUCUGAUUCUGGAUUUUUAGCUUAUAAGGAACUCAUGGGUAAAGAUUUCAAAGUAAUUGAAAAGUUAAGGUGGCACGAUCUUUCAACUUAUUCCCUAUCAAUGCAGUCAUCAAGAUUUGAGUUACCCAUAGAUAUACAAAAUUUAGAGGGUUUAAAACCUUUGGAAUAUCUUCUGGAGUUUACAAUUAUUAGCGAAAGGAGAAGUGUCAUUUACUCUAAAAUCUUUUUCAAAUAUAGAUCUGGUUUAUUUGGUGGUAUUACACCGAAGGAUAUUAAUAAAGCAGUGUCGGAUGUUUUUGUAUCAGUUAUAAAUGUAGAAGAGCUAAUGGGAUUAAAGGAGAUAACUUUAGCUGGUGAAAGCUAUAUGAAUCAAAGAACUUUUGGGGUAUUUUGCGCUUUUGCGGAGAGAUUACUUUUCAUAAAAAGAGCCUUAUCUGGUAUAAAAUACUUUGGUUAUCCUCAAAGGCCUCACUUAGAGCAAGCUGAUUUUUACAACUUUAAGAAAACUGUUGAAAUAAUUAAAAUUGAUGAAAAUCUUCAAUAUCUUUUUGACAUUCUCAAUAAUCCAAACAACGUUCCAGUAGAAUUGCUAUCCACUACCGAAAAAUUGAUAAACUAUACUGGCGAAGGGAAGUUAACGGGUUUGACCUCUUUAACAAAUAAUAGCAGACCGAUUCCACUCAUAUGGAAAAGGAACCAAUGAUUAACAUAGAAUAGUAGAUAGUCAACGUUUUUUUAAUAUUUUUCAUAAGGUUUAUAAAUUUGAAUUGAGAGAUUUAAAUUGGAAGAUUUUAAUAAAGUUUGCUUUUUUCCUUUAUCUCUAUCUAUAUUGUGUUCAACUAUCUGUAUCUUUUAAAUGUAAGAAAGUCUA
rnacentral:misc_RNA from 1 species